rfam:Brachypodium distachyon strain Bd21 chromosome 2, whole genome shotgun sequence.
GUAGGAAGGAAGCAUGGUAAUGUGCACGGAGAUUGAUUGAACUUUUGGUCUGCAUGUCUGCUCGACGUGAUGCCUUCGGGCUUUGAACUCGCGGGCCUGGAUUUGACCCACAUUA